rnacentral:rRNA from 1 species
AAAGGAAUUGACGGGCACCCGCACAAGCGGUGGAGCAUGCUGUUUAAUUCGACAAUACGCGAAAAACCUUACCUAGAUUUGACAUCCCCGGCAAUGCUAUAGAAAUAUAGCGGAGGUUACCCGGGUGACAGGUGGUGCAUGGUUGUCGUCAGCUCGUGUCGUGAGAUGUUUGGUUAAGUCCAAUAACGAGCGCAACCCUCGUCUUUAGUUACUAACAUUUAGUUGAGAACUCUAAAGAUACUGCCAGUGUAAGCUGGAGGAAGGUGAGGAUGACGUCAAAUCAUCAUGCCCCUUACAUCUAGGGCCACAGGCGUGCUACAAUGGCCAGUACAACGAGUCGCAACACGGUGACGUGAAGCUAAUCUCUUAAAGCUGGUCUCAGUCCGGAUUGGAGUCUGCAACUCGACUCCAUGAAGUUGGAAUCGCUAGUAAUCCCGAAUCAGAAUGUCGGGGUGAAUACGUUCCCGGGUGUUGUACACACCGCCCGU